rnacentral:rRNA from 1 species
GAACGCUAGCUACAGGCUUAACACAUGCAAGUCGAGGGGCAGCAUGGUCUUAGCUUGCUAAGGCCGAUGGCGACCGGCGCACGGGUGAGUAACACGUAUCCAACCUGCCGUCUACUCUUGGACAGCCUUCUGAAAGGAAGAUUAAUACCAAGAUGGCAUCAUGAGUCCGCAUGUUCACAUGAUUAAAGGUAUUCCGGUAGACGAUGGGGGAUGCGUUCCAUUUAGAUAGUAGGCGGGGUAACGGCCCACCUAGUCUUCGAUGGAUAGGGGUUCUGAGAGGAAGGUCCCCCACAUUGGAACUGAGACACGGUCCAAACUCCUACGGGAGGCAGCAGUGAGGAAUAUUGGUCAAUGGGCGAGAGCCUGAACCAGCCAAGUAGCGUGAAGGAUGACUGCCCUAUGGGUUGUAAACUUCUUUUAUAAAGGAAUAAAGUCGGGUAUGGAUACCCGUUUGCAUGUACUUUAUGAAUAAGGAUCGGCUAACUCCGUG